rnacentral:tRNA from 1 species
CAGUGAGUAGUUCAGUAGGUAGAACGCUUGUUUUGGGAACAAGAAGUCAAAGGUUCAAUUCCUUUCUCACUGA